UAGUCUUUUAAUUGAGGACUGGAAUGAAAGGGUAAACUGGAAAAAAUUUUUUAGGGUUAAAUUAGUGAAGUUGACUUUUUAGUAAGAAGGCUAAAAUAUUUCUUAAAGACGAGAAGACCCUAUAAAACUUUAUAUUUAGUACUUUUUUUGAUAAGAGAGUAAAUAUUUUACUGGGGCGGUGAAAGAAAAAUCUUUUUUUAAAUUUAAAGAUUUUAAAUCUUGGUAUCUAAAAUUUUUAAAAGAAGAAUAAGUUACUUUAGGGAUAACAGCUUUAUUCCUUUAAAUAGUUCUAAUUGACAAAGGAGUUUGUGACCUCGAUGUUGAAUUAAAAAUCCUUUUUAGUGCAAAAGCUUAAAAGGAGGUCUGUCGCC
rnacentral:rRNA from 1 species